rnacentral:piRNA from 1 species
UUAAGCAUAUCCUUGAUUAAU